UACGUAGGGUGCGAGCGUUAAUCGGAAUUACUGGGCGUAAAGCGUGCGCAGGCGGUUGGUUAAGUCUGAUGUGAAAGCCCCGGGCUCAACCUGGGAAUGGCAUUGGAAACUGGCUAGCUGGAGUGUGGCAGAGGGGGGUGGAAUUCCGCGUGUAGAGGUGAAAUUCGUAGAUAUUCGGAAGAACACCAGUGGCGAAGGCGGCAUCCUGGACCGAGAUUGACGCUGAGGAGCGAAAGCUAGGGGAGCAAACGGG
rnacentral:rRNA from 1 species